rnacentral:lncRNA from 1 species
UGUGGUAAUUCACAAUUUUUAAGAAUGUGGUGUUACGUAACUAGAAUUAAACUAUUAAAUAUAGUCAAGGAACUUGAUUGUAUGCGCCUGAUUGACUUUUAAUAUGAUCCACAAUUAACCGAGGUUAAAUCUACACUAUAUUUUAUCCUCUCUCCUUUUCAAAAUGACUUUCUAAUAUUUCUUUUCUUUGCUCAUUAAAAUGGCACAUAGACCUAUUAAAAUACGACACGCAAUGGUGAAUAUUUUAUUUUGGAAGAAGGGGCUCAAAAUCACAUUGUUAGUUCUUCAUUAAAAUCGUGGAAAAAAGUUUUAUUUGCACAGUAUAACCCAGCUACUCCUGGUGACUCUACACAAAAUCUUCCCAGCUAGCUCAAAAAUUAUCAUGCCCUUGGCACUAUCAAUUUAAUAUAAUUUGAACUACUUCAUUUUCAAUUAGGAAAGUUUCUUAAUUAGUUGUCUAUAAUAGGUCAUGUUGACUAUAUUGAUUUUCUCAUUAUUCUACUUUAUUUAGUUUUUCUUGUUUAGAAUAUAGGCUGUAAUAUAUAUUAAGAGGACAAUGAUUAAUAAAAUUAAGCCUUUACAUAUUUCUUUUUGGUAUCAGAACCAACUAAACCCUAGCCUCCAACACUGCCUUCACAAUAGCCUAAACCCUAACCCACUAGCCACCAGCCAUAGGCCAACAACAGUCCUGCCUCUAUGCAUUCCCUGUGCAACCCAGUCCAACCAACAAUCACCAGACUCAACACUUGUAACAUCCUCUUCCCUUGUGCAGCCACCACUGCAGUCACCAGCAGCCCAACCCAACCCUCACACACAGAGCCCUUGCACAACAAGUCAUCUCGUGCAUAACCAUGCUUUGUACAGUCCAUCCUUGCGCCGUCUAGCACCGUUCAGGCCUUGCACAGGCAAGCUCUUGCACAGUCGCGCAGUCUAGCUUCGUUCAAGCCUCACACAGGCCAACGCAUACACCAUCAAGCAGUCCUGUAGGCCAGCCCAUGUGCCAUCCAGUAGCAUCAUAGUCCAGCAUAGCCGCAUAUUCCAGCAACCCCUACAUCGUCUAGUAGUCCUAUAGGCCAUCCCCUGCACUGUCUAGUACAUUUAGCAGCCGCGCAAUCUAGCACAGCCACACAGUCUAGCAACCAGUAGCCCCAUAAUCCAACAACCAGUAGUCAGUAGUCUAGCGCAGCCAUCAGUUGCACAGUGCAAUUCAGCCUCCAGUCAUUGCGUAGUCUAGUGUAGCCAGCAGUAGCUGCUCGUGCAGUCCAUAUAUCGUGAAGUCUAUAUGUCUGAUAGUAUGACACUUUAAAAAAAAUAUAUUCUCCUUUGAUUUCCUAAGAUUGAUUCUUGGUGUUACGUUGAUAGUUAACCCAGUCAAGGAGGUUGCCCCAGCCCAUAUGGUUUUGUGCCCAACUCCUAUCUACCUAUCUUUUAGUCCCACGGACGCUAUAGUUGCAGGUACUCUUAUCGCUUUUCAUGAUAAGUCAAGUCACCCCACUUGAAUUCUGAAUUUUGGAGCUAAUAAUAACAUGACUGGUGAGCUUUCUACUUUUACCUCUUCUAUUAGUUUCAUAAAUCAAUCUGUUUGUAUUGCUGAUGGACCAUCUAUUCCCAUUUAUAGUCAGGGUGAUGCCCACUUUUCCACAGAUAUUACUCUUUCCUCAAUUUAUUAUGCUCUGAAUUUUGCCUAUAAUUUUCUUUCUGUUAGUUGUCUUGCAAAAAACCUUAAUUGUGCCGUUGUAGUCUUACCAUCUCGUUGUUUCUUGCAGGACUUGAUUUCGAAGAAGAUUCUUGGCAGGGGAUAUGAGAGUGAUGAACUGUACUACUUUGGGGAUCCGCCAACAUCUAUUGCUUUGUCCUUCAAUCUUCAAGCCUCUACUCUACCAGUCUUAGAGCCCUCCAUUUUAAGUUAGUCUAUAUUAAAUUCGUUUGUUUGUUCUAUUAAAACUUUAAAUUAGUGGCAUGCUCAUUUAGGGUAUGCAAUUUUUUUGUAUUUAUGUUGCCUUUUCUCCCAUCUUAAAAAGGCAUGCCAGAAAGUUACUUUUAAAUGUUUCAUUUGUGAAUUGUCUAAACAUACUCGCACCUCUUAUAUUUCACGCAUGCAUUGUGCACCGAGUGCUUUUGACCUUAUUCACUCAGAUGUAUAGGGCCCGUCUCCAGUUACUUCUUUCUCUUAACACCAUUAUUAUAUCACCUUUAUGGAUGACUACACUAGGUGUACUUAGGUCUACUUGAUGCGCAAUAAAUCCGAGGCCUUUUUCCACUUUACUUAUUUUCUACAAAUGAUCAAAGGGGUAUUGGUGUUAUGAUCCUGUCACUUUUGAAAACUGUUCCAUUCUUCUCAGGUUCUCCAUUUUCUCUGGGCCAUGCUUCAAAGCUGAUUGUGGAAGAGGGCUCUACACCUCCACGUCCGCUUCCUAUACUUGAGUCUCCUCCAAUAUCGCCCAGUGACUCUUUACCCUCGAGUGUUACUACCGACCCCUCAUAGGACUACCCUUAUUAU